GAUGAACGCUAGCGGGAGGCCUAAUACAUGCAAGUCGAACGGUAAGGUCCUUCGGAUACACGAGUGGCGGACGGGUGCGUAACGCGUACGGAAUAUACCUUCAACAGGGAGAUACCUCCGGGAAACUGGAAUUAAUACCCCAUAGUAUUAUAGAUUCGCAUGAAUUUAUGAUUAAAAGCUCAGGCGGUUGAAGAUUAUCGUGCGUCUGAUUAGGUAGUUGGUAGGGUAAUGGCCUACCAAGCCAACGAUCAGUAGCUGGUCUGAGAGGAUGAUCAGCCACACUGGAACUGAGACACGGUCCAGACUCCUACGGGAGGCAGCAGUAGGGAAUAUUGGGCAAUGGAGGCAACUCUGACCCAGCCAUCCCGCGUGCAGGAAUAAA
rnacentral:rRNA from 1 species